GGGGGGACGGAGAAGGCUAUGUUGGCCGGGCGACGGUUGUCCCGGUUUAAGCGUGUAGGCUGGUUUUCCAGGCAAAUCCGGAAAACCAAGGCUGAGGCGUGAUGACGAGGCACUACGGUGCUGAAGCGACAAAUGCCCUGCUUCCAGGAAAAGCCUCUAAGCAUCAGGUAACAUCAAAUCGUACCCCAAACCGACACAGGUGGUCAGGUAGAGAAUACCAAGGCGCUUGAGAGAACUCGGGUGAAGGAACUAGGCAAAAUGGUGCCGUAACUUCGGGAGAAGGCACGCUGAUAUGUAGGUGAAGCGACUUGCUCGUGGAGCUGAAAUCAGUCGAAGAUACCAGCUGGCUGCAACUGUUUAUUAAAAACACAGCACUGUGCAAACACGAAAGUGGACGUAUACGGUGUGACGCCUGCCCGGUGCCGGAAGGUUAAUUGAUGGGGUUAGCGGCAACGCGAAGCUCUUGAUCGAAGCCCCGGUAAACGGCGGCCGUAACUAUAACGGUCCUAAGGUAGCGAAAUUCCUUGUCGGGUAAGUUCCGACCUGCACGAAUGGCGUAAUGAUGGCCAGGCUGUCUCCACCCGAGACUCAGUGAAAUUGAACUCGCUGUGAAGAUGCAGUGUACCCGCGGCAAGACGGAAAGACCCCGUGAACCUUUACUAUAGCUUGACACUGAACAUUGAGCCUUGAUGUGUAGGAUAGGUGGGAGGCUUUGAAGUGUGGACGCCAGUCUGCAUGGAGCCGACCUUGAAAUACCACCCUUUAAUGUUUGAUGUUCUAACGUUGGCCCGUAAUCCGGGUUGCGGACAGUGUCUGGUGGGUAGUUUGACUGGGGCGGUCUCCUCCUAAAGAGUAACGGAGGAGCACGAAGGUUGGCUAAUCCUGGUCGGACAUCAGGAGGUUAGUGCAAUGGCAUAAGCCAGCUUGACUGCGAGCGUGACGGCGCGAGCAGGUGCGAAAGCAGGUCAUAGUGAUCCGGUGGUUCUGAAUGGAAGGGCCAUCGCUCAACGGAUAAAAGGUACUCCGGGGAUAACAGGCUGAUACCGCCCAAGAGUUCAUAUCGACGGCGGUGUUUGGCACCUCGAUGUCGGCUCAUCACAUCCUGGGGCUGAAGUAGGUCCCAAGGGUAUGGCUGUUCGCCAUUUAAAGUGGUACGCGAGCUGGGUUUAGAACGUCGUGAGACAGUUCGGUCCCUAUCUGCCGUGGGCGCUGGAGAACUGAGGGGGGCUGCUCCUAGUACGAGAGGACCGGAGUGGACGCAUCACUGGUGUUCGGGUUGUCAUGCCAAUGGCACUGCCCGGUAGCUAAAUGCGGAAGAGAUAAGUGCUGAAAGCAUCUAAGCACGAAACUUGCCCCGAGAUGAGUUCUCCCUGAGACUUAGAGUCUCCUGAAGGAACGUUGAAGACGACGACGUUGAUAGGCCGGGUGUGUAAGCGCAGCGAUGCGUUGAGCUAACCGGUACUAAUGAACCGUGAGGCUUAACC
rnacentral:rRNA from 1 species